GUUCUAAGAUCUUGUCAGAGGAGUUUGGAUGGGACAAGGAUCUUGCAAAGAAAAUCUGGUGUUUUGGUCCUGAGACUACUGGACCCAACAUGGUGGUUGAUAUGUGCAAGGGAGUUCAGUACCUGAAUGAAAUUAAGGAUUCUGUUGUUGCUGGUUUCCAGUGGGCUUCAAAAGAAGGUGCAUUGGCUGAAGAAAACAUGAGAGGUAUCUGCUUUGAGGUUUGUGACGUCGUCCUGCAUGCUGAUGCCAUCCACAGAGGCGGUGGCCAGGUUAUUCCUACUGCUAGGAGGGUUAUCUAUGCUUCCCAACUUACUGCUAAGCCCCGACUUUUGGAACCCGUGUACCUUGUGGAGAUCCAAGCACCCGAACAAGCUCUCGGUGGCAUCUACAGUGUUCUGAACCAGAAGCGUGGACACGUCUUUGAGGAGAUGCAGAGGCCAGGCACACCCCUUUACAAUAUCAAGGCCU
rnacentral:lncRNA from 1 species